rnacentral:snoRNA from 1 species
UCCUUCUCUCCAAAGCACCCUACUAAAACUGCAGGAGCCAAACCUCAGGUUUAGCUCUUUGUGGACGUGUGAGCAUGGGUACACCAGGGAAGGAGAUUAAUGGCACAGCAUCGGAAAUGAGGCUGGGAGGGACCUCUUUCUUAAUGUCCAGUGUCCUUUGUCUCAAGAUUCUGUGUUACACUG